rnacentral:ncRNA from 1 species
AUCGGGGAGCCGCUGACUGCCUGUUACGGAGUUUGUAACGCACAGCAGGGCUGAGAGGAAAAAUUUUCGACCCGUAAACCUGAUUUGGGUAAUGCCAACGUAGGGAAUAUUU